AUUGAACGCUGGCGGCAGGCCUAACACAUGCAAGUCGAGCGGAGCGGCCGACGGGUGGGUAAUGCCGAGGUAUCUGCCUGAUAGCGGGGGCUAACGUCCGGAAACGGGCGCUAAUACCGUAUACUAUCAGGUGAUCCUAGGUCGGAUUAGGUCGUUGGUGAGGUAAAGGCGUACCAAGGCGACGAUCCGUAGCUGGUCUGAGAGGAUGAGCAGUCACACUGGAACUGAGACACGGUCCAGACUCCUACGGGAGGCAGCAGUGGGGAAUAUUGGACAAUGGGCGAAAGCCUGAUGCAGCCAUGCCGCGUGUGUGAAGAAGGCCUUCGGAUUGUAAAGCACUUUAAGUGGGGAGGCGUUACCCACAGAAGAAGCACCGGCUAACUUCGUGCCAGCAGCCGCGGUAAUUC
rnacentral:rRNA from 1 species